UUUGGAGGAUUUAUCAACACCUUCAUAAUCCGCAAUUUUACCGCCAUUAGUAGCUAACAAAGCAAUACCUUUGGCACAAUCGUGAGCAGAACCACCACCAAUUGAUACCAUAGAAUCACAGUUUUCCUUCUUAACGAUUUCGAGACCUUGGUUGACAUUUCCAACGGUGGGAUUAGGUUGAACACCAUCGUAAAGGUGAACAGUGAUGCUUUGUUCUUCCAACAGAGCCUUAACUUUGUCAUACAAACCGACCUUAAUAAUACCAGGAUCGGUAACAAUUAAGGUGUUUUUGAAGCCGCUCAUCUUAAUUUGCUUGGCGGCUUCAGCAAGACAACCUUUACCGAAAAGGUUGAAAGAAGGUAUGUAGAAUGCGCUAACAGGCAUGGCUUUCGAAGAGGUUGAUUGAUGCUUUAAGCCAUUAGUAAAAGAUUGAUUACAAGAGGAAUGAAAGAGUGACGGAAAGAAUCGAGCAGGCGAUCGAAUUAAACGAAAUGGAGAACGAAGAAUGGACAUGUUAAAAAGAAAAUCGCAUCUAAAGCUUA